UGCCCCCCUCCUCGYCCCCCACCCCCAAAAGGACUGUGUCUAUCAAACUAUCAGUGGAAUGUCGAACCAGGCCUCUGGGGCCCACACGCGCUGCAGCACUCAGCACCUGUCUCUGACUGACAGCACAGAGAAAGAGACGCGGUCAAUCACAUCGGACAGCACGGCAAAAGGGAAAAGGCAGAGGGGAGCGGGAGGUAUGCCACUUUUACUUACCACGGCUGAGUCAAGAAAAGCUCUGACGAAGCAUCAGUGCCCUCCGCUGCUCUAGGCCGAAAGGCUGCASUGACCCGGGGGACUGGAAGUCAAUGAAAUCAGCCUAAUUUAGCCUCCGCUGCUCCACAAGCUGCCAGGAAUCAGAGUGCACGUCCUUGCCUUUUUAAGACUCCUUGGACACUGCAGUCUGCAAGAAGCUCUGCUGCAUUUCCAACUACAUAAUGGAGACAGAGAGAAGAGAUCCUGAGAGAUGCAAGGGGAGUGACAAUGAAAAGUGUGUUUAUGGAUGUGCCAUUUAAGUUAUUGUCCAGGUUUAAAAGUCACAGCACAACUUGGAACCAUGAAAAUAUCAUCAUUACCACAUCAUUGGGACAGGUGGAUGUGCUCUGUGAUGAGGAAGCUCGGUUUGGAGACACAGCCCAGAGGAGGAGCUCGUCCCAAAAGGCGGUUCUAG